AGCCUGACCAGCCAUGCCGCGUGCAGGAUGACGGUCCUAUGGAUUGUAAACUGCUUUUGUACGGGAAGAAACACUCCGACGUGUCGGAGCUUGACGGUACCGUAAGAAUAAGGAUCGGCUAACUCCGUGCCAGCAGCCGCGGUAAUACGGAGGAUCCAAGCGUUAUCCGGAAUCAUUGGGUUUAAAGGGUCCGUAGGCGGUCUGGUAAGUCAGUGGUGAAAGCCCAUCGCUCAACGGUGGAACGGCCAUUGAUACUGCUGGACUUGAAUUACUGGGAAGCAACUAGAAUAUGUAGUGUAGCGGUGAAAUGCUUAGAGAUUACAUGGAAUACCAAUUGCGAAGGCAGGUUGCUACCAGUGGAUUGACGCUGAUGGACGAAAGCGUGGGUAGCGAACAGGAUUAGAUACCCUGGUAGUCCACGCCGUAAACGAUGGAUACUAGCUGUUGGGAGCAAUCUCAGUGGCUAAGCGAAAGUGAUAAGUAUCCCACCUGGGGAGUACGUUCGCAAGAAUGAAACUCAAAGGAAUUGACGGGGGCCCGCACAAGCGGUGGAGCAUGUGGUUUAAUUCGAUGAUACGCGAGGAACCUUACCAAGGCUUAAAUGCAGACUGACCGAUUUGGAAACAGAUCUUU
rnacentral:rRNA from 1 species